UGGCUCACUGGCCAGCACAUCUACUAAAAUUGAAAUAAUUCAGAGAAGACUAACAUGGCCUCUGUGCAGGAGGACACAAGAAUUCAUGAGCCAUUCCACAUUUAA